GACGAACGCUGGCGGCGUGCUUAACACAUGCAAGUCGAACGGGUCUGCCCUGUUUUUUGCGGGGUGGGUCAGUGGCGAACGGGUGAGUAACACGUGAGUAACCUGCCCCUCACUUCUGGAUAACCGCUUGAAAGGGUGGCUAAUACGGGGUGUUCUGGCUGUGCCGCAUGGUGUGGCUGGGAAAGAUUCACUUUUGUGGUGUUUUGGUGGGGGAUGGGCUCGCGGCCUAUCAGCUUGUUGGUGGGGUGAUGGUCUGCCAAGGCUUUGACGGGUAGCCGGCCUGAGAGGGUGGGCGGUCACACUGGGACUGAGAUACGGCCCAGACUCCUGCGGGAGGCAGCAGUGGGGGGUAUUGCACAAUGGGCGGAAGCCUGAUGCAGCGACGUCGCGUGAGGGAUGGAGGCCCUCGGGUUGUGAACCUCUUUCGCCGGUGAAGAAGGUCCUGCUCUUUGUGGUGGGGUUGACGGUAGCCGGGUUAUGAAGCGCCGGCUAACUACGUG
rnacentral:rRNA from 1 species